UUACAAAGGACGACAUUAGACGAAUCAUCUGGAAAGAUGAAUCAAAGAAGGUAAUAAUCCUGUAGUCGAAAAUGUUGUCUCUCUUGAGUGGAUCCUGAGUACGACGGAACAUGUGAAAUUCCGUCGGAAUCUGGGAGGACCAUCUCCUAAGGCUAAAUACUCUCUAGUGACCGAUAGUGAACCAGUACCGUGAGGGAAAGGUGAAAAGCACCCCGGAAGGGGAGUGAAAUAGAACCUGAAACCGUGUGCUUACAAGUAGUCAGAGCCCGUUAAUGGGUGAUGGCGUGCCUUUUGUAGAAUGAACCGGCGAGUUACGAUUUGAUGCAAGGUUAAGCAGUAAAUGUGGAGCCGUAGCGAAAGCGAGUCUGAAUAGGGCGUUUAGUAUUUGGUCGUAGACCCGAAACCAGGUGAUCUACCCUUGGUCAGGUUGAAGUUCAGGUAACACUGAAUGGAGGACCGAACCGACUUACGUUGAAAAGUGAGCGGAUGAACUGAGGGUAGCGGAGAAAUUCCAAUCGAACCUGGAGAUAGCUGGUUCUCUCCGAAAUAGCUUUAGGGCUAGCCUCAAGUGAUGAUUAUUGGAGGUAGAGCACUGUUUGGACGAGGGGCCCCUCUCGGGUUACCGAAUUCAGACAAACUCCGAAUGCCAAUUAAUUUAACUUGGGAGUCAGAACAUGGGUGAUAAGGUCCGUGUUCGAAAGGGAAACAGCCCAGACCACCAGCUAAGGUCCCAAAAUAUAUGUUAAGUGGAAAAGGAUGUGGCGUUGCCCAGACAACUAGGAUGUUGGCUUAGAAGCAGCCAUCAUUUAAAGAGUGCGUAAUAGCUCACUAGUCGAGUGACACUGCGCCGAAAAUGUACCGGGGCUAAACAUAUUACCGAAGCUGUGGAUUGUCCUUUGGACAAUGGUAGGAGAGCGUUCUAAGGGCGUUGAAGCAUGAUCGUAAGGACAUGUGGAGCGCUUAGAAGUGAGAAUGCCGGUGUGAGUAGCGAAAGACGGGUGAGAAUCCCGUCCACCGAUUGACUAAGGUUUCCAGAGGAAGGCUCGUCCGCUCUGGGUUAGUCGGGUCCUAAGCUGAGGCCGACAGGCGUAGGCGAUGGAUAACAGGUUGAUAUUCCUGUACCACCUAUAAUCGUUUUA
rnacentral:rRNA from 1 species